ensembl:lncRNA
UUGCUGAAUGAUGUCAAAUACAGAGUAAAGAUGUCAAUAAAGAGAAAAGAUUUAGACACAAACCACUUUUCAUCUUUUUUUUUUUGUAUUUACAAGUGGAAAAGAAUAUAACCAAAUGGGUAUUAGUAUUUUUCUUUCUAUACAAAGCAUAUAAAUAUUAAGAAUUGAUAAUGAAAAAAAUGUUGUUAUAACAAAAAUAAUUAUUUACACAGAUGACAAGCCCAGUUACUAUGUUUUACAUUCUCAAAGACAGCAGGACUCAUGUUAAGGCAAACCACAUGUAACCAGCGUUUGCAUACGUGACAUUCAAUCUAAAAAAAAAAAUCACACACACAUACAUAAGAUAUAUAUAUAUAUAUAUAUAUAUAUAUAUAUAUAUAUCAAUAUAGUAACACAGUUACAGAAGACAAUAAGACUGUGAUGAUGUCAUAUUGUUCCUCUUCAUUUCAGGCACCUGAGGCUGUCAGGAUUUCCUCAGCCAUCUUCCUACGUAGUCCCUCCAUAUUGGUGACAGAAGUAUUGAUGUCCAAGUGGGAGGGCACUUCUGGGAAACUAGAGACAACCUCCUUUGCCAUCUUUGAACAAUAGUUGUAGUGAAAUGAAGGAAUUAAUUCUAUUUAGUGUCUCAAAUUUAAUGCUUACCAUUUGAGCAGAAAAUACCUGCAUGACAAUGUAUAACAAUACAAAUACCUUUCGAAGACUCUGCCGACACACAUCAUCUCGGUUUCCAGACAGAAUCACACCAGCAGAAAAAUGAUUCAUGAGGUCCAUUGCUGUGUCUGGAAUCGUCUGGCUGGUAUUGGUGCUGAUCUGUGUAACUUCUGGAUUUGGUGAUGGCUGUGGCAGUACUUCAGGUGGGUCAAAGUAUUUUGUUUUAUGUCUGUUCUUGUCCUUUCUCGAUGUUUUCUGUGCCCAUUCUUCUUUCUGGCUGAAGAACUUUUCUUUAGGUUCUGGAUCACGGUAAGGCAGUAAAAGAUUGUUGUUAAUUAUGUGUUCUUUGUAUCUGCCUUGGAGAGAUCCAUACAUGUUCUGAAUGAAGUCAGCAGGACGCAGGUACUUCUUCUUUUUAAGGAUGCUCUGUUUAACAAUCCAAAACCACUGUUCCACAUGACAGUUACUUUCCCUAGUUUUGGAUUGUUUGCUGACUGUAGUUGUGCUGGUUUCAGAAAACCGGCUAAGAUCUCCAAGAAGAACUCCACUCCACAGCGGGA